CACGUAGGGGCGCAACGUUUGCCGGUAAUUAUUGGGCGUAAAGAGCUCGUAGGCGGUCUGUUGCGUCCGCUGUGAAAACUCGGGGCUUAACCCCGAGCCUGCAGUGGAUACGGGCAGACUAGAGGUAGGUAGGGAGAAUGGAAUUCCCGGUGUAGCGGUGAAAUGCGUAGAUAUCAGGAGGAACACCUGUGGUGUAGACGGCUUCUGGACCAUAGCUGACGCUGAAGACACGGAAAGCGUGGGUAGCAAACAACGG
rnacentral:rRNA from 1 species